rnacentral:pre_miRNA from 1 species
GGAUGUUAAAUUGACUCUAGUAGGGAGUCCGUUCCAGCGCGACUCCCUAAUCGAGUCAGGUUGACUUCCCU